AUUGAACGCUGGCGGCAUGCUUUACACAUGCAAGUCGAACGGUAACAGGCCGCAAGUUGCUGUCGCGUGGCGGACGGGUGAGUAAUGCAUCGGAACGUGGCCAGCCGUGGGGGGUAGCUACUCGACAGCGUAGCAAAUACCCCAUACGCGCUUAGCGUGACAACGGGGGAGCGGGAGGCCUUCCGCGCUCUGGCCGGCGGAUGUGCGAUUAUGUAGUUGGUGGGGUAAAGGCUCACCAAGGCAACGAUCCGUAGCUGGUCUGAGAGGACGACCAGCCACACUGGGACUGAGACACGGCCCAGACUCCUACGGGAGGCAGCAGUGGGGAAUUUUGGACAAUGGGCGCAAGCCUGAUCCAGCAAUGCCGCGUGCAGGAAGAAGGCCUUCGGGUUGUAAACUGCUUUUGUACGGGACGAAACGGCUAUGGUUAAUACCCGGGGCUAAUGACGGUACCGUAAGAAGAAGCACCGGCUAACUACGUG
rnacentral:rRNA from 1 species